rnacentral:rRNA from 1 species
ACAACGAGAAGCGAACCUGCGAAGGCAAGCGGAUCUCUUAAAGCCGUUCUCAGUUCGGACUGUAGGCUGCAACUCGCCUACACGAAGCUGGAAUCGCUAGUAAUCACAGGUCAGCAUACUGUGGUGAAUACGUUCCCGGGCCUUGUACACACCGCCCGUCACACCAUGAGAGUUGAGAAUACCCGAAGCCCAUGUCAAAGUGGUCGAAGGUAGGCUUGAUGAUUGGGGUGAAGUCGUAACAAGGUAUC